AGACAUAACUCCGUGUUCGUCUUACAGUAGCUUAUUGCGACCAUUUUACUUGCGCCGAAAACAGUAUAUUUUCCAGCGAGGUGCGAAGACGAGAAGUAUGAAGAUUUUGGAGGCACGCAGACAGGUGAUAAAGAUGCUGUGCGCUAUCGUGGUUGUAUUCUUCCUGAGUUGGGGACCAAAGUUAAUAUUUAGAACUUUACAACGGCAGGGAUUACAAAUAAUGUUCAACCCAGAAGCUUUCACCACAAAGUUGAUACUGGAUUGCCUACCAUAUCUCCAGUCCUGUAUAAACCCGGUUAUUUAUGGGUUCAUGUCACGCGCAUUCAGAAAGAGUGUUCGCGCAGCAUGUACAAGCACGUGCAGCUUAACACAGGAAGUGAUGUGCUUCGAAAAAAGACUCAUGGCUUCUGAAUUCGCCUUACAGCAACGGAAUUUGGCUCCAAAGGACACGUAUUUGAACGAAAAAACCAACCUAAUGACACGCCAUAUGGCCGAGGCAAAAGCUGUGAAGUGAAAACUGUGCAAGUCAGUGGAGAAGACUCAAUUCCGGAAUGACCUCUUUACAUUAAGUAAAAUGGAUUUUUGUGAGAUAUGCCUUAAUUUAUUUAUUUAUUUGAUUGGUGUUUUACGCCGUACUCAAGAAUAUUUCACUUAUACGACGGCGGGCCAGCAUUAUGG